UUAACCGCGAGGUUUGGUCUGGAGGAAGCCGCUAGCCUAUUUACUCAAUUAAGGCGAGCUGAUGAACAAAAACAUCAUAUGAGGCGUAGGCUGGAGGCGAGUUGUCACAAGACGACGAAACGCGUGAGCAGGACGCGGAAGAUUUGUGCAGUGAAAGUUCAUGUU
rfam:Osedax symbiont Rs1 5221_218, whole genome shotgun sequence.